GACAGAGGGUGCAAACGUUGUUCGGAAUCACUGGGCUUAAAGGGUGCGUAGGCGGCGCUGCAAGUGCCUUGUGAAAUCCCAUCGCUUAACGAUGGAACUGCUCGGUAGACUGCAGUGCUUGAGGUUGGUAGGGGCUGCCGGAACUCUAGGUGGAGCGGUGAAAUGCGUAGAUAUCUAGAGGAACGCCCAAGGCGAAGGCAGGCAGCUGGGCCAAUUCUGACGCUGAGGCACGAAAGCGUGGGGAGCAAACGGG
rnacentral:rRNA from 1 species